rnacentral:rRNA from 1 species
CAGCAGCCACGGUAAUACGUAGGUGGCAAGCGUUGUCCGGAAUCAUUGGGCGUAAAGCGCGCGCAGGUGGUUUAAUAAGUCUGAUGUGAAAGCCCCCGGCUCAACCGGGGAGGGUCAUUGGAAACUGGGAAACUUGAGUGCAGAAGAGGAGAGUGGAAUUCCACGUGUAGCGGUGAAAUGCGUAGAGAUGUGGAGGAACACCAGUGGCGAAGGCGACUCUUUGGUCUGUAACUGACGCUGAGGAGCGAAAGCGUGGGGAGCGAACAGGAUUAGAUACCCGCGUAGUCCCUGUCUCUUAUAC